rnacentral:rRNA from 1 species
AGCAGCCGCGGUAAUUCCAGCUCCAAUAGCGUAUACUAAAGUUGUUGCGGUUAAAAAGCUCGUAGUUGAAUUUCGGGGUCAGUAGGUCGGUCGUGCCACUGGUAUGAACUGGUUUUACUGAUUCCUCCCUCUUGAAGAACUGUAAUGCCAUUAAUUUGGUGUUGCAGGGAAUCAGGACUGUUACUUUGAAAAAAUUAGAGUGUUUAAAGCAGGCUUUAGCUUGAAUACAUUAGCAUGGAAUAAUGAAAUAGGACGUUUGAUCCUAUUUUGUUGGUUUCUAGGAUUGACGUAAUGAUUAAUAGGGAUAGUUGGGGGCAUUAGUAUUCAAUCGUCAGAGGUGAAAUUCUUGGAUUUAUUGAAGACUAACUACUGCGAAAGCAUUUGCCAAGGAUGUUUUCAUUAAUCAAGAACGAAAGUUAGGGGAUCGAAGACGAUCAGAUACCGUCGUAGUCUUAACCAUAAACUAUGCCGACUAGGGAUCGGAUGAUGUUAAUUUUUUAANGANUCA